AGACCCGAAACCCGGUGAUCUAGCCAUGGGCAGGUUGAAGGUUGGGUAACACUAACUGGAGGACCGAACCGACUAAUGUUGAAAAAUUAGCGGAUGACCUGUGGCUGGGGGUGAAAGGCCAAUCAAACCGGGAGAUAGCUGGUUCUCCCCGAAAGCUAUUUAGGUAGCGCCUCGUGAAUUCAUCUCCGGGGGUAGAGCACUGUUUCGGCUAGGGGGCCAUCCCGGCUUACCAACCCGAUGCAAACUGCGAAUACCGGAGAAUGUUAUCACGGGAGACACACGGCGGGUGCUAACGUCCGUCGUGAAGAGGGAAACAACCCAGACCGCCAGCUAAGGUCCCAAAGUCAUGGUUAAGUGGGAAACGAUGUGGGAAGGCCCAGACAGCCAGGAUGUUGGCUUAGAAGCAGCCAUCAUUUAAAGAAAGCGUAAUAGCUCACUGGUCGAGUCGGCCUGCGCGGAAGAUGUAACGGGGCUAAACCAUGCACCGAAGCUGCGGCAGCGAACGUAUCACCCAAGACAACUUUACGGAGUUGACGAUUGACGGAGCGAAGCGACGUCAAAGCGUUCAUUAAAGUCGAGUUGGCUUAGGGAUACGUUCGUUGGGUAGGGGAGCGUUCUGUAAGCCUGUGAAGGUGUGUCGUGAGGCAUGCUGGAGGUAUCAGAAGUGCGAAUGCUGACAUAAGUAACGAUAAAGCGGGUGAAAAGCCCGCUCGCCGGAAGACCAAGGGUUCCUGUCCAACGUUAAUCGGGGCAGGGUGAGUCGACCCCUAAGGCGAGGCCGAAAGGCGUAGUCGAUGGGAAACGGGUUAAUAUUCCCGUACUUGGUGUUACUGCGAAGGGGGGACGGAGAAGGCUAUGUUGGCCGGGCGACGGUUGUCCCGGUUUAAGCGUGUAGGUGUGUGUUCCAGGUAAAUCCGGUUCACUUUAACACUGAGGCGUGACGACGAGGCACUACGGUGCUGAAGCAACAAAUGCCCUGCUUCCAGGAAAAGCCUCUAAGCAUCAGGUAACAUCAAAUCGUACCCCAAACCGACACAGGUGGUCAGGUAGAGAAUACCAAGGCGCUUGAGAGAACUCGGGUGAAGGAACUAGG
rnacentral:rRNA from 1 species